UGCAAAGUAAUGCCAACCCUCCUGCGGUCCACAGGUGGUUCAAGAAGAGAGCAGAUGUAGAGGAAGAACUGGGCAUCUCACACGUGCUUUCCUUCACUGCGGCCCAAGAGAACACUGGGGAAUACAUUUGUGAGGCACAGAAUCAAUACGGUGCAAUGAACUCCACAAACCUACAGAUCACCGUCAUAGGCAUAUCCUUCACUGCUUUCCUCUCAAUUUUGACAGCUUUAUCAUUGCUCAUAUUUGCACUUCUUGCACUUCUUAUUCUUAUGAUUUGCAGGAGGUAGGAUCUUGCUAGAUUUCUUUUUUAAAUUAUGUGUCCUAUACAUUAUUGGAGAUAAUGUUUUCUUGUUUUGGUAUAUGCAGGUGGAAAGAGCCAGUCAGAAGUGUAAGUAUAUUUUCUGCCAUGGUAUGUUCUUCAUGAAGUUAUAACACAAUAGACGUUCAAAGAUCAUUUAUCAAUGCAUUUCAGGAAACAAGCCAAGAUCAGAACAUUUAUAGCAAUGUGUCCGCAAGUGCAGUGAAAAGCGAGCAGCUCCAAUCAAAGCCAUGUGAAGAUGAGAACACCAGCACCAUUAACCCUGAACACACGUUCAAACA
rnacentral:lncRNA from 1 species